ACGAGAGUUCUUCAAUUUUAUUUUAUUUUAUUUUUGUUUCCAUUUGUUCUUAAAUUUAUUAUCAGAUUUCAACUACAGUCCUGACCAUUAUUGAGCCAAAGCUCAAUAUUUCUGCUCGUCCUUUCAAUAUUCAAUUUAGUUGAGUUGGUCCAAAUCCAAAACCAGAACCUAGCCAUAAAGUCAUAUCCUUUAUUUUUUUCAGGUGCAAUUAACAUUUUCUUGGGUUCAACAAGGGCAAAAGGGUAAAUAAAAGAACUCUGUAAUUUAUUAAUGUUUCCUACAACAGUGUCAGAUCUUUGCAUCUCCUUUUUGAUAUCUGGAAUCUAAAACUUCACUACGCCUCAGCAUUAAACGACAAAAGAUAAGAAAUUAAAACGUGUCACUCCUUAUCAGCCUGCACAUGCUACCUCCAACUCCUCAAAAAACCCGAAUAAAAAAUAUAUACAUAUAUGUAUAUAUGUUAAUAAUAUAUGUCUUAUGUAGCUCCUAAAUAACAAUAAACAAUUAUAAUAUACAAGAUUCCAUGCCUAAACCCAUCAAUUUCAAAGUCACUGAGAAAAGUUUUCUUGUUCUAGCUUAACUUCUCGAGGCCAUGACUUCUUGCACCGACACUGAACCCUGCAGUGUGUAUGUAUCAGUUCUAGGAAGAUGAGCUUUCAGCGCUUUUGUUUACCACUGUAUAAUACUAUUGUGUAGAUUGAUACCACCUAGCGAGUGUUUCAAGGGAUUCUUGGCCCGUGAGGCAAAUUAUUUAUGACACAUUUCUUGGCAGAUAUUAUCUUCUUCUUCUGCUUUUUUUUUUUUUUUA